AGAGUUUGAUCCUGGCUCAGAGCGAACGCUGGCGGCAGGCCUAACACAUGCAAGUCGAACGCCUGUAGCAAUACAGGAGUGGCAGACGGGUGAGUAACACGUGGGAACGUGCCCUUCGGUUCGGAAUAACCCAGGGAAACUUGGGCUAAUACCGGAUACGUCCGCAAGGAGAAAGAUUUAUCGCCGAGGGAUCGGCCCGCGUCCGAUUAGCUAGUUGGUGGGGUAAUGGCUCACCAAGGCGACGAUCGGUAGCUGGUCUGAGAGGAUGAUCAGCCACACUGGGACUGAGACACGGCCCAGACUCCUACGGGAGGCAGCAGUGGGGAAUAUUGGACAAUGGGCGCAAGCCUGAUCCAGCCAUGCCGCGUGAGUGAUGAAGGCCUUAGGGUUGUAAAGCUCUUUCGGCGGGGAAGAUAAUGACGGUACCCGCAGAAGAAGCCCCGGCUAACUUCGUGCCAGCAGCCGCGGUAAUACGAAGGGGGCUAGCGUUGCUCGGAAUCACUGGGCGUAAAGCGCGUGUAGGCGGAUCGCUAAGUCGGGGGUGAAAUCCUGGAGCUCAACUCCAGAACUGCCUUCGAUACUGGCGAUCUCGAGUCCGGGAGAGGUGAGUGGAACUCCGAGUGUAGAGGUGAAAUUCGUAGAUAUUCGGAAGAACACCAGUGGCGAAGGCGGCUCACUGGCCCGGUACUGACGCUGAUGUGCGAAAGCGUGGGGAGCAGACAGGAUUAGAUACCCUGGUAGCCCACGCCGUAAACGAUGGGGGCUAGC
rnacentral:rRNA from 1 species